GAGGGUAGAGCUCAGUGGUAGAGGGCAUGCUUAGCAUGCAUGAGGUCCUGGGUUCAAUCCCCAGUACCUCCA
rnacentral:tRNA from 1 species